AUUCCUUAGUUCCAGAUUAUUUUGAGAAAUAAACAUGUUUAAAACAUAAAAUGUCACAUACAUACCAUUAUGUAAACAAGUUUUUCAUUGCAAGUCUUUAUUUGAAGUAAUCCAACGUCCUUUCAAUUCUGUUCAAGCUUUUUGUAAACCAAACAACGCGGUGUUGAAUUACAAAUCUCUAUGAGAUAGAUGCUUGAAAAGUACGCUGAAAGCAUUCAGUCUCUAAAACGUCCCGGUGAUACAGAUUUUCAAGACCUCGAUUUCGAUAACCAAUCAACCGUAUUGCGCGCAUUUCUUGAAAUCACGGAAUCAGGUAAAGAUCUAAAAUAUGUCCAAAUUUUUCAUUAUUGACUGGGAGGACGGCACGACAGAUUUUUACAAAGAAGAUGCGGUAGUUGUAAAUGGAGACAAAGUUCUAAAACAGUUUGGAAAGAAAAUGUUUGAGGGGAGGAUUGCUUCUUUCCACAUAUUGCAGCAGAUAUUUGUCAGUUUUACUGCAUGAGAGUUCACACAUAUUUAUCUAAGACUGGCAUCAUGCUGUUUAAUCUGCAUGGCAAUUUGCAACAGGAUUAUCAGAAUAAACUCUACUGAAUCUACUCUUAGAUAGCAAAGCUUCUGCAAAGCAAGAAUUAGCAGAAAGAACUGAAGCACCCCGUGAUGUGUCUUCAGUGGUUGAGGAUUCAGGAAAGAGGGAACGAAAACUUACAUCAAAAAUGGAAGCAACCUUACAGAUCUC